rnacentral:rRNA from 1 species
AGAGUUUGAUCCUGGCUCAGAACGAACACUGGCGGCGUGGAUUAGGCAUGCAAGUCGAGCGGGAUCUCGAUGCUUCAAUUCUUCGGAAAAGAAGUAUUGGGUGAGAGCGGCGAACGGGUGAGUAAUGUAUGGGUAAUUUGCCUUAAAGCUCGGGAUAGCCACUCGAAAGGGUGGGUAAUACCGGAUGUGCUCGGGUGUCGCAUGACACCUUAUGUGAAGGCGGGGAUCUUCGGACCUGCCACUUUAAGAUAAGCCCAUAUCCUAUCAGCUAGUUGGUAAGGUAACGGCUUACCAAGGCUUACGGGUAGCUGGUCUGAGAGGACGACCAGCCACACUGGGACUGAGACACUGCCCAGACUCCUACGGGAGGCUGCAGUCGAGAAUAUUUGUCAAUGUACGAAAGUAUGAACAUGCGACGCCGCGUGGAGGAUGAAGGCCUUCGGGUUGUAAACUCCUGUCAUGAGGGAAUAAGUGUAUGCCGGUUAAUACCUGACAUAUUUGACAGUACCUCAAGAGGAAGUCACGGCUAACUCUGUGCCAGCCGCCGCGGU